rnacentral:rRNA from 1 species
UCAAGCUACAAAGAGCACAAGGGGAAUGCCUUGGCACCGAGAGCCGAAGAAGGACGUGACUAACUGCGAUAAGCUGCGGGGAGCCGUAAGUAGGCUUUGAUCCGCAGAUUUCCGAAUGGAGCAAUCCGGCAAGAGGAAAGUCUUGUCAUCAUAUACUGAAUACAUAGGUAUAUGAGGGGAACCGCCUGAACUGAAACAUCUAAGUAGGGCGAGGAAGAGAAAUCAACCGAGAUUCCGCAAGUAGUGGCGAGCGAACGCGGAAGAGGGCAAACCAGAGGAUUUAUCCUCUGGGGUUGUGGACUUGUACACGGGAGACUAGGUUAGCUGAAUGGUAUGGGAAGGCCAUCCACAGAGGGUGAGAGACCCGUAAGCGAAAACCGAAGUCUUUCAGCGAGGAUCCAGAGUACCGCCGGACACGUGAAACCCGGUGGGAAUAUGGGGGGACCAUCCUCCAAGCCUAAAUACUACUCGGUGACCGAUAGUGAAGAAGUACUGUGAAGGAAAGGUGAAAAGUACCCCUGACGGGGAGUGAAAAAGAACCUGAAACCUUGUGUUUACAAGCACCGAAAGCUCAUCAAAGAGCGAUCGGGUACCUUUUGUAGAAUGGUCCGGCGAGUGAAUGUAACCGGCGAGGUUAAGCACUUAAGGUGUGAAGCCGCAGCGAGAGCAAGUCUGAAUAGGGCGUAUGAAGUCGGUUGUAUUCGACCCGAAACCGGGUGACCUACCCAUGGUCAGGUUGAAGUAAAGGUAAAACUUUAUGGAGGACCGAACCGACUCCCGUUGAAAUGGUAGCGGAUGAACUGUGGGUAGCGGAGAAAUUCCAAUCGAACCCGGAGAUAGCUGGUUCUCUCCGAAAUAGCUUUAGGGCUAGCCUUGAAAUAGAUUACCGGAGGUAAAGCACUGAAUUGGCUAGGGGCCGAGAGGUUACUGAACCUUAUCAAACUAAGAAUGCCGGAUAAUCGUUUUUCAGGAGUCAGACAGUGGGAGAUAAGUUUCAUUGUCAAAAGGGAAACAGCCCAGACCCACAGCUAAGGUCCCCAAGUAUAGUUAAGUGGAAAAGGAUGUGGAAUUGCACAGACAACCAGGAUGUUGGCUUAGAAGCAGCCACUCAUUAAAAGAGUGCGUAAUAGCUCACUGGUCGAGUGACUCUGCGCGGAAAAUGUAACGGGGCUAAGCAUCUAACCGAAGCUUAGGAUUGUCGUAAGACAGUGGUAGGGGAGCGUUCCAUGUGGGGUGAAGUCGCAGCGGAAGCAGCGGUGGACUGCAUGGAAGUGAGAAUGCCGGAAUGAGUAGCGAGAAUUAUGUGGGAAUCAUAAUGGCCGAAAAUCUAAGGUUUCUUGGGGAAGGUUCGUCCGCCCAAGGUAAGUCGGGAGCUAAGCUCAGGCCGCGAGGCGUAGGCGAUGCACAUACGGUAGAAAUUCCGUAGCCACCGAACUUUAAGUCAGAGGGACACUUUUGGAUAGCGGAACCCGGGCGUUGGUUGACCCGGGCGAAAGGGAGCGAAAAUAUAGUAGCGAAGUCCGCGAUGCUGAGAGGCGAGAAAAGCUCUGAUGGAUACUAAGGUGCCCGUACCGCAAACCGACACAGGUAGAUGAGGAGAGAAUCCUAAGGCCAACGGGAGAAGGGUUGUUAAGGAACUCGGCAAGAUGACCCCGUAACUUCGGAAGAAGGGGAGCCUCGAAAGAGGCCGCAGUGAAUAGGCCCAAGCAACUGUUUACCAAAAACACAGGUCUAUGCUAAAUCGAAAGAUGACGUAUAUGGGCUGACGCCUGCCCGGUGCCGGAAGGUUAAGAGGAGAUGUCAGCGCAAGCGAAGCAUUGAAUUGAAGCCCCGGUAAACGGCGGCCGUAACUAUAACGGUCCUAAGGUAGCGAAAUUCCUUGUCAGGUAAGUUCUGACCCGCACGAAAGG